ACCAGCUCUUGUAACAACGGUGUGCUGUGUCCGCCCCCAAAGACUGGGAGCUUGUUGAAGGCAAGGACCUGCCCUCAAAUUCUGCAUCCCACCCCAGACCCCAGUGUGAUGGCUGAGCCCAGAGUUAAUCAGCUAAUGGACUGGUUGGUAUGAAGCAGGAAACUGUUGUAGCCAUUUGGCACCACAGGAAAGCCAACAUAAAGACAAUAUUGAAGCCAAAAGGAGGACCGAGCUAAGAGAAGUGCCGACUCCCCAGAGCAGUCUACACAUGAAGCCCACUCUUCCAUGGAGCUUCCAGAAUGUUAGCUGGGUUGGUCCCAAAGCCCUCGGAAAAUGAAUGAAGCUGAGGUCAGCAGCGGGCAGCUCAGCACAUUAUUAUAAAUUCACUGGGGUUACUGAAAUCCAAUGCUGGACUCUUUCUGGUGAAAGACCCGGCUCUCCCAGGAAUGAAGAUUUUAAUGACAAACUGAGAAACGAGGUGCCCGUGCCCAGAACGCAAGGCCAUGGACUGGGAGGCAUGUGUUCCGGGCAGGGUCUUUUGGUGAGAAGAAACGCUAACAUUCUCUAGGACCCAGUGCAUUUCCUGUCUGCAGACCGAGCAUCUUAAGAUCUGAAUCCCUUUCCCCGCAACAUCUCACUUUCCCUCCCCCCUG